rnacentral:rRNA from 1 species
UACGGAGGGUGCAAGCGUUAAUCGGAAUUACUGGGCGUAAAGCGUGCGCAGGCGGUUUUGUAAGUCUGACGUGAAAUCCCCGGGCUCAACCUGGGAAUUGCGAUGGAGACUGCAAGGCUUGAAUCUGGCAGAGGGGGGUAGAAUUCCACGUGUAGCAGUGAAAUGCGUAGAGAUGUGGAGGAACACCGAUGGCGAAGGCAGCCCCCUGGGUCAAGAUUGACGCUCAUGCACGAAAGCGUGGGGAGCAAACAGG